CCUACGGGUGGCAGCAGUGAGGAAUAUUGGUCAAUGGACGAGAGUCUGAACCAGCCAAGUAGCGUGAAGGAUGACUGCCCUAUGGGUUGUAAACUUCUUUUAUAUGGGAAUAAAAUGUUCCACGUGUGGGAUUUUGUAUGUACCAUAUGAAUAAGGAUCGGCUAACUCCGUUCCAGCAGCCGCGGUAAUACGGAGGAUCCGAGCGUUAUCCGGAUUUAUUGGGUUUAAAGGGAGCGUAGGUGGAUUGUUAAGUCAGUUGUGAAAGUUUGCGGCUCAACCGUAAAAGUGCAGUUGAAACUGGCAGUCUUGAGUACAGUAGAGGUGGGUGGAACUCGUGGUGUAGCGGUGAAAUGCGUAGAUAUCACGAAGAACUCCGAUUGCGAAGGCAGUUCACUGGACUGCAACUGACACUGAGGUUCGAAAGUGUGGGUAUCAAACAGGAUUAGAUACCCUUGUAGUC
rnacentral:rRNA from 1 species